GGGGAUAACUAUCCGAAAGGAUAGCUAAUACCGCAUACGUCCUGAGGGAGAAAGCGGGGGACAGGCAACUGCCUCGCGUUAUUCGAGCGGCCAAUAACUGAUUAGCUAGUUGGUGGGGUAAAGGCCUACCAAGGCGACGAUCUGUAGCGGGUCUGAGAGGAUGAUCCGCCACACUGGGACUGAGACACGGCCCAGACUCCUACGGGAGGCAGCAGUGGGGAAUAUUGCACAAUGGGCGCAAGCCUGAUGCAGCCAUGCCGCGUGUAUGAAGAAGGCCUUCGGGUUGUAAAGUACUUUCAGUCAGGAGGAAG
rnacentral:rRNA from 1 species